rnacentral:rRNA from 1 species
GAUGAACGCUGGCGGCGUGCCUAAUACAUGCAAGUCGAGCGAACGGACGAGAAGCUUGCUUCUCUGAUGUUAGCGGCGGACGGGUGAGUAACACGUGGAUAACCUACCUAUAAGACUGGGAUAACUUCGGGAAACCGGAGCUAAUACCGGAUAAUAUUUUGAACCGCAUGGUUCAAAAGUGAAAGACGGUCUUGCUGUCACUUAUAGAUGGAUCCGCGCUGCAUUAGCUAGUUGGUAAGGUAACGGCUUACCAAGGCAUCGAUGCAUAGCCGACCUGAGAGGGUGAUCGGCCACACUGGAACUGAGACACGGUCCAGACUCCUACGGGAGGCAGCAGUAGGGAAUCUUCCGCAAAGGGCGAAAGCCUGACGGAGCAACGCCGCGUGAGUGAUGAAGGUCUUCGGAUCGUAAAACUCUGUUAUUAGGGAAGAACAUAUGUGUAAGUAACUGUGCACAUCUUGACGGUACCUAAUCAGAAAGCCACGGCUAACUACGUG